AGCUAACGCGUUAAACAGGGCGCCUGGGGAUUACGGCCGCAAGGCUAAAACUCAAAGGAAUUGACGGGGACCCGCACAAGCAGUGGAGCGCCUGGUUUAAUUCGAUGAUCAGCGAAGAACCUCACCUGGGCUUGAACUAUAGCUGCAUCCCGGCAGAAGCGCCGGAGCCUUCGAGGGUGCUAUAGAGGUGCUGCAUGGCUGUCGUCAGCUCGUGUCGUGAGAUGUAGGGUUAAGUCCCACAACGAGCGCAACCCCUAUUCUGUAUUACAAUUAUUCAGAAGACUGCCUCGCCACAACGAGGAGGAAGGAGGGGACGACGUCCAGUCAUCAUAUCCCUUAUGUCCAGGGCUACACAGACGCUACAAUGGCUACUACAACGGGUUGCCAAGCCGCAAGGCGGAGCCAAUCCCAUCAAAAGUAGCCUCAGUUCAGAUUGCAGGCUGCAACUCGCCUGCAUGAAGCCGGAAUUGCUAGUAAUCGCGUAUCAGCACGGCGCGGUGAAUACGUUCUCGGGUCUUGUACACACCGCCCAUCAGGGCACGGGAGUUGCUCUUGCUCAAAGUCUCACUUUAUGUGGGCCAA
rnacentral:rRNA from 1 species